rnacentral:tRNA from 1 species
UCCCUGGCAGUCAAGAGGUUAAGACUCUACACUUCCAAUGCAGGAGGCAUGGGUUCAAUUCCUGGUCUGGGAA